GAUGAACGCUGGCGGCGUGCCUAAUACAUGCAAGUCGAGCGAACGGACGAGAAGCUUGCUUCUCUGAUGUUAGCGGCGGACGGGUGAGUAACACGUGGAUAACCUACCUAUAAGACUGGGAUAACUUCGGGAAACCGGAGCUAAUACCGGAUGAUAUUUUGAACCGCAUGGUUCAAAAGUGAAAGACGGUCUUGCUGUCACUUAUAGAUGGAUCCGCGCUGCAUUAGCUAGUUGGUAAGGUAACGGCUUACCAAGGCAACGAUGCAUAGCCGACCUGAGAGGGUGAUCGGCCACACUGGAACUGAGACACGGUCCAGACUCCUACGGGAGGCAGCAGUAGGGAAUCUUCCGCAAUGGGCGAAAGCCUGACCGAGCAACGCCGCGUGAGUGAUGAAGGUCUUCGGAUCGUAAAACUCUGUUAUUAGGGAAGAACAUAUGUGUAAGUAACUGUGCACAUCUUGACGGUACCUAAUCAGAAAGCCACGGCUAACUACGUG
rnacentral:rRNA from 1 species